rnacentral:rRNA from 1 species
UACAGAGGUCUCAAGCGUUGUUCGGAUUCAUUGGGCGUAAAGGGUGCGUAGGCGGCGCGGUAAGUGGGGGGUGAAAUCUCGGGGCUUAACUCCGAAACUGCAUUCGAUACUGCCGUGCUUGAGGACUGGAGAGGAGACUGGAAUUUACGGUGUAGCGGUGAAAUGCGUAGAUAUCGUAAGGAAGACCAGUGGCGAAGGCGGGUCUCUGGACAGUUCCUGACGCUGAGGCACGAAGGCCAGGGGAGCAAACGGG